rnacentral:rRNA from 1 species
UCCGGCAUAACCCCGGGAAACUGGGAAUAAUACCCCAUAACGCACAUAUGCUGGAAUGCUUUGUGCGUGAAAUGGAUUCGUCUGCCCAAGGAUGGGUCUGCGGCCUAUCAAGUAGUAGUGGGUGUAAUGUACCUACUAGCCUACACGGGGUACGGGUUGUGAGAGCAAGAGCCCGGAGAUGGAUUCUGAGACAUGAAUCCAGGCCCUACGGGGCGCAGCAGGCGCGAAAACUUUACAAUGCGGGAACCCGUGAUAAGGGGACACCGAGUGCUAGCAUCAUAUGCUGGCUGUCCAGGUGUGUAAAAUACACUUGUUAGCAAGGGCCGGGCAAGACCGGUGCCAGCCGCCGCGGUAACACCGGCGGCCCGAGUGGUGAUCGUGAUUAUUGGGUCUAAAGGGUCCGUAGCCGGUUUGGUCAGUCCUCCGGGAAAUCUGAUAGCUCAACUAUUAGGCUUUCGGGGGAUACUGCCAGACUUGGAACCGGGAGAGGUAAGAGGUACUACAGGGGUAGGAGUGAAAUCUUGUAAUCCCUGUGGGACCACCUGUGGCGAAGGCGUCUUACCAGAACGGGUUCGACGGUGAGGGACGAAAGCUGGGGGCACGAACCGGAUUAGAUACCCGGGUAGUCCCAGCCGUAAACGAUGCUCGCUAGGUGUCAGGCAUGGCGCGACCGUGUCUGGUGCCGCAGGGAAGCCGUGAAGCGAGCCACCUGGGAAGUACGGCCGCAAGGCCGAAACUUAA